UACGGAGGAUCCGAGCGUUAUCCGGAUUUAUUGGGUUUAAAGGGAGCGUAGGUGGACUGGUAAGUCAGUUGUGAAAGUUUGCGGCUCAACCGUAAAAUUGCAGUUGAUACUGUCAGUCUUGAGUACAGUAGAGGUGGGCGGAAUUCGUGGUGUAGCGGUGAAAUGCUUAGAUAUCACGAAGAACUCCGAUUGCGAAGGCAGCUCACUGGACUGCAACUGACACUGAUGCUCGAAAGUGUGGGUAUCAAACAGGAUUAGAAACCCGUGCCGGCUGACUGACU
rnacentral:rRNA from 1 species